UACGAAGGGGGCUAGCGUUGCUCGGAAUUACUGGGCGUAAAGAGCGCGCAGGCGGUCGUUCAAGUCGAGUGUGAAAGCCCCCGGCUCAACUGGGGAGGGUCACUCGAUACUGAUCGACUCGAAGGCAGGAGAGGGAAGCGGAAUUCCCGGUGUAGUGGUGAAAUGCGUAGAUAUCGGGAGGAACACCAGUGGCGAAGGCGGCUUUCUGGCCUGUUCUUGACGCUGAGGCGCGAAAGCUAGGGUAGCAAACGGG
rnacentral:rRNA from 1 species